UCAUUCAUUUACUGUUUUAUUCAUUCAGAAACACAGUAAGUACCAAAUUGUGCAAGACAUAAUGACUAGACACAGUUCCCGCCCUUGGAAUGUGUCGUUCAGUGUCACGGGAAGAGUACUGGCCCUGGAGUCAUCCAAGUUGGGCUUAAGUCCUGGUUUUGCCACUUAGUAGCUGUGUGACCUUGAGGAAGUUAUUCAUUCUUUCGGAGUCUAAGCUUUCUUACUUAUAAAGUGGGCGUGCAAAGCCGACUUUGAUAGUUUGCUGUGAGGAUUAGAGCUACAGCUUUUGGAAUUCCUGGCACCGAAUAAGGGCUCUCUUAUUGACAUAUUCUUGGAUAACUGUUGUAUAAGGUAAAAAAAGAAGAGUGGCUAACAUAGGGCAGGGAUGCCUGAAGGGAUUUAUAGAAGGAAGAAAUGGGUAACGGUUGAGGGGUAGAGGGUCCAAGUGAGAUAUCAAGGAAGGAUUCCUGGAAGAGGUGGGAUUUGAGCUGAUACUUGAAAGCAGAGACUUGCUAUAUCAAGAUGGGAGGAGUGGGAGGUGAGGCUUAGGCUGUGUUCCUUCUCUGGGGAAUUCCCCUUUGUCCUUCUCAGAAACUGGGUCUAAGACCUCAGAGAAAGUAGCAAUAAGGCCAGGGAGUCCUCAGUCCUGAGUCCUAGAGAGUUGCAGAAGUAUCUGCAUCACAUUUUCCUGACUUUCUCUAUUCUGAGUCAUAUUCUUGCAGCUCUUCAUUUUUCAAAUUUCAUUUCGCAAACCUUCAGAGAUGGAAGUUUUGCCACUUUUCACACCAAAAGCACUUACUGUGUUUUUUUUAACCACAUGGCAUCAAACUUUUUCUAAAAAGGUUUGACAUAUGUAAACCACUCAGCUGUAGUUUGUUUCAUUAUUGUAAAAACAAAAGUAGCUGGACUAGAUGAUCGCUGGGGUCCUGUCCAACUUGGCAGGUGUUUGAAUCUCUAUUUGAACCUAAUGGUUCAGGUUCACGAAUAUCUUCUGCCUCUUCUCUGUGUUUCUCUCCUUCUGCUACUCUCUUUUCUGUCUCUGUCUUUCUCUGUCUCUGUGUCUCUCUAUCUAUAACUUUGUCUCAUUCUCUGGCAUUGUCUCUGUCUUUCCAAGCAUGCACCAUUUAAUUUAAGUCAAAUUUCUGGAUGUAUGCUCAACUACUUUUAAUUGCUCUCCAGCCAAGUGUGCCAGCCUGGGAUUAAGAGCCCUGGUCUUUAGCCCUGGCACUAACUCACUGUGUGACCUAGGACAACCCAUUUCCCCUGUGGGUCUGGAUUUUUCUAGAUGUACAAUGAAAGCCUUGGACCAGAUGAGCUCUAAGCCCUUUCCAACUUUGGCAUCUCUCAGGGUCUGUGAUUCCUGAAACAUCAGUGGUUCCUAGACAGGGGUGAAGGAUCUCCCCUUUUACCCCUUGGUGAACAAUCUUUGCCCUCAAGUUCCCUCAGGUGCCUUAGCCUGGCACCAGUUCACCACGGCAAGAGCUGCCUGUAAAAUCUAAUUCACAAUACAAGUUUCUGGGGCCUUCCUGCAGCUGUCAGCAGGUGUCACAUUCACAGUAUUUUGUCUUAAUUACAGCUCUGGGAUUUAUCAGCCAGGCUAGAGACCUCUUCUGGAAUACGACAUCCCCGGGAGCUGUUCCAGGUGCUCCUGUCCCUGCUGCUGCCACACACAGGCCUGUUCCCUGCCGAUGGGGCUGAAGUAGAUUCUGCUUUGCAUGCUGCUCCUGCUGUGUCUCCCACCACUACCUCACAGAGAGCCUGUGUGACAUAGAUAACUCCCACAGCCUUCCCAGGGAUCCAGAGGCAAAGACAUCUACCUGUUUGGGGCAGUGCCAAGGCUCCCACCAGCCCUGGAGCACUUCACAUCCGCUGUCCCAUCCCAAAACCUUGGUGGGCAGAGAAAUAGAGGCGAAAAAUGACUCUUGGAGAAGUUAAGUCACUUGAUCUGGACCACAUAGCAAGUACAGAAUUGGGGUCAGAGUUCCAAAGGCACCUUGCACACAGCCCUAGGAGGAGGUGACCUCCUGUGGUCAUCUGACGCUGACCCUUGGUGAUGGCUCACUGGUUCCCAACCACUUCCAACCUUCCUGCUGUCCUCACUGCUCUAGUCUGGUGGGGCAGUUUCCGGGUUAGCUGGCUGCCUCCUCUACUAACUCCCAGCCACUGACUUCCCAUCAGAGGACCUUCUCUGAGUUGAGACUGUGUGGAAAAGGCUAACAUUCCCUCCAAAAUGUGUGCUCCCUCUUCCAUAGGCCAGAGUGAGCCCUGUGAAGUAGCUGCAUUUCCCAGCCCUCUGCAGUAUAGAGAGAUGGGGGCAUGUCAUUAUUCUUGCCAAUGAUUCUGCCUGGGUGCACAGACUCAAUUCCUGGGGGACAGUGGAGCCACGGGAUGUAAAGGGCCUGCACCCCUGAAUGCCAGAAUGGAGGUGCACUGCCCCCAACCAGGGACAUGGACUGUUAGGUGAGCAAAAAAUAAAUUUUGAUUAGGAUAAGCCACUAAAAUGCUCACCUGUUACAGCAGAUAGCAUUGCCCUAACCCAGUAGUGAGGUGCCAACAAUGGGACACAUUCCGUGAUGUUCCCCAUUCAAUCCUUUGAUCCCCGCAACAGCCCCACAAGGUAUAUAUUAGUACUGUCAUCCUCAUUUUCAGGUAAGGCUCAGGGAGAUUAAGGGAUGCACCCAAGGUCAAACACAACCAGUAGGCAGUAGGCCAGGAUUGAAUCUGGAUGUCUGACUCCAGAGACUUCUGGAGGUUCAGUUACCAGCACACGGUGGAGAUCUUCCUCCACCACCACCACCUAGAGAGAAUGAGCAGGAAACCUCAGAAGAAAUGGCACCCAAAAGAGCCAGAAGUGUCGCCUCAGCCAGCUAAGGUUGGAACCACUUACCAACGCCCAGAAUCACGUCUUUCCAAUCAAACCCAAUGACUGUUCAUCUCUGGGUUUCAGUUUCCUGGUUUGUAAACUCCCAUGAGUAAACAAUCUCUGAUUAUCCCGACCACAGAGAGGGUUCAAUCAGGUGUGCUGGUGGUCUUCAAUCAAACAUGGAUUUACCUCCCCUAUUCUAUUCUUCAAAGAGGGUGACAAAUCUGCAACUCACUUGAAAUCCAUCAAUAAAAAAGAUUAAUAAACAGA
rnacentral:lncRNA from 1 species